UACGGGGGGUGCGAGCGUUGUCCGGAAUCACUGGGCGUAAAGGGCGCGUAGGUGGCCUGAUAAGGGUGUGGUGAAAGUCCGGGGCUCAACCCCGGAUCUGCCGUGCCGACUGUUGGGCUGGAGUACUGUAGGGGCAGGCGGAAUUCCGGGUGUAGCGGUGGAAUGCGUAGAGAUCCGGAGGAAGACCGGUGGCGAAGGCGGCCUGCUGGGCAGUUACUGACGCUGAGGAGCGAAAGCGUGGGGAGCGAACAGG
rnacentral:rRNA from 1 species